GAUGAACGCUGGCGGCGUGCCUAAUACAUGCAAGUCGAGCGAACAGAUGAGGAGCUUGCUCCUCUGACGUUAGCGGCGGACGGGUGAGUAACACGUGGAUAACCUACCUAUAAGACCGGGAUAACUUCGGGAAACCGGAGCUAAUACCGGAUAAUAUAUUGAACCGCAUGGUUCAAUAGUGAAAGACGGUUUUGCUGUCACUUAUAGAUGGAUCCGCGCCGCAUUAGCUAGUUGGUAAGGUAACGGCUUACCAAGGCAACGAUGCGUAGCCGACCUGAGAGGGUGAUCGGCCACACUGGAACUGAGACACGGUCCAGACUCCUGCGGGAGGCAGCAGUAGGGAAUCUUCCGCAAUGGGCGAAAGCCUGACGGAGCAACGCCGCGUGAGUGAUGAAGGUCUUCGGAUCGUAAAGCUCUGUUAUUAGGGAAGAACAAAUGUGUAAGUAACUAUGCACGUCUUGACGGUACCUAAUCAGAAAGCCACGGCUAACUACGUG
rnacentral:rRNA from 1 species